UACGUAGGAUGCUAGCGUUAUCCGGAUUUACUGGGCGUAAAGAGGGCGUAGGUGGCUUGGUAAGUCAGAUGUAAAAUUUCCCGGCUUAACUGGGAGGGACCAUUUGAUACUGCCAGGCUCGAGUGUAGUAGAGGAAAGUGGAAUUCCCGGUGUAGUGGUGAAAUGCGUAGAUAUCGGGAGGAACACCAGUGGCGAAGGCGGCUUUCUGGGCUACUACUGACGCUGAGGCCCGAAAGCGCGGGGAG
rnacentral:rRNA from 1 species